UNGGUUGCUAGCUAUUCCUGUGCCUGUC
rnacentral:piRNA from 1 species